GAGAGGAGAGGAGAGGAGAGGAGAGGAGAGGAGAGGAGAGGAGAAGAGAGGAGAAGAGAAGAGAAGAGAAGAGAAGAGAAGAGAAGAGAAGAGAAGAGGAGAGGAGAGGAGAGGAGAGGAGAGGAGAGGAGAGGAGAAGAGAAGAGAAGAGAAGAGAAGAGAAGAGAAGAGAAGAGGAGAGGAGAGGAGAGGAGAGGAGAGGAGAGGAGAGGAGAGGAGAGGAGAGGAGAGCAUUUACAGCGACUUCAGGAUGGAAAUCAAGCUUCUGGUUUGGCAGCUCACAGAGAAGUGGCGUCUGGCAUGGUGCUGGUUGCUAGGAAUGACACCUCACAGAGAGCUUGCUGCCAGUGUUAAUCACAUAUUGAAGCAGGUAUUCAACAUGGGACCAGCGAAGAGGUCAACUAACAGAGGGAGAAUUGCACCGUCUGACAUCAUAUUGUUUUUCAUCAUCACCGUGGAAACAGAACGACGCCCAAAACGGCUUCCUAUUGGACAUGGGACAUGGACACACCAAAUACAUUGUUUACUGUUUCGUUAUUUCAUGGACUUGUGAAACCUGGGUCGUGAGAAUUUGUCCUGAUGUGUUCUGAUACCAGCCCUACAAGAGGAGGAACUCAGAGGAGGAACUCAGAGGAUCAACUCAGAGGAUGAACUCAGAGGAGGAACUCAGAGGAUGAACUCAGAGGAGGAAUUAAAUGCAUAAUAAAGUCUGGGCAACAUGGAGCCACUGACACACCAACGGGACUGCAGGUAACUCAUUGAUUGGUUUUGGACCUGUCUGUUUGAGGCCUUACUGAACUUACAACAUGAAUGGUUCUGACCCGCCUGUAAUACUACAAUGAACAAUGCUCUCACAGAGUGACACUAACCCGUCUCUGAGACGGUUGUGGUAAAGUUGAGGUCCUGUCAAGUUUAGAGUUCCUGUGUUAAAGGUCUGCAGGACACAAAGGAGAGGGGAGUGGGGCAAGGAACUAUAAGAAGGCCCAUUCACACCGCAAAC